rnacentral:rRNA from 1 species
UACGUAGGUGGCAAGCGUUGUCCGGAAUUAUUGGGCGUAAAGCGCGCGCAGGCGGUCCUUUAAGUCUGAUGUGAAAUCCCGUGGCUUAACCACGGGCGGUCAUUGGAAACUGGGGACUUGAGUGCAGAAGAGAAGAGCGGAAUUCCACGUGUAGCGGUGAAAUGCGUAGAGAUGUGGAGGAACACCAGUGGCGAAGGCGGCUCUUUGGUCUGUAACUGACGCGAGGCGCGAAAGGCCAGG